AGGCAUUGCACCAAUGGCCAAUUAGUUGGCCUCGCAGAAGCCACAUCUCAGAAUUGGGAGGCUCAUAUGAUAAAUGGCGAGAAGUCAUCUGAAUGCAUUACUGAACUGUACGGGCGCACGGGUCAUCAAUGGAGCACCAAGCGUAUCUGACAAACAUUGUUGAGCCAAUUAGCAAGUCAUCAAUGGACCACAGGUUAAAAAAUAAUAGAGUGAAUACCCAUCCGACCCUUGACAGGGGCCUCGUUGUCCUUUCGAAGUAAUUGUCAGGAGUCGGGUUGGAUUUUUUUU